GGCUUGUAGCUCAGUGGUAGGGCACUUUCCUGCCAUGUGGGAGGCAUUGAGUUCAAUUCUCAGCACCA
rnacentral:tRNA from 1 species